rnacentral:rRNA from 1 species
GACGGAGGGUGCAAGCGUUAAUCGGAUUUACUGGGCGUAAAGGGCGCGUAGGCGGUCGUGACAAGUCACUUGUGAAAUCUCCGGGCUUAACUCGGAACGGUCAAGUGAUACUGUCGGACUAGAGUACAGAAGGGGCAACUGGAAUUCUCGGUGUAGCGGUGAAAUGCGUAGAUAUCGAGAGGAACACCUGCGGCGAAGGCGGGUUGCUGGGCUGAUACUGACGCUGAGGCGCGAAAGCCAGGGGAGCGAACGGG